AAGUCGUAACAAGGUUUCCGUAGGUGAACCUGCGGAAGGAUCAUUAACGAAUUCAAUCCAGCCUUUCUGGCUGUGCAUUCACUUGCACGCCGGCGAAGUUGGCUCUCUGAAUUUACACACCUGUGCACCUUCGGUUGUCCUCUCCACUUUCACGCUUUUGCGAGAAAAUUUUGUCCACUUUUCGGGGUGGGAUGGAUGCGUUGCAGUGAACCUUUGUUCAUAGCUCGCGUCGGGAGAGAGGGCUCUCGUUUUUUUACACCUUUUUUGUAUGUUUUUGAAUAAAUUCAAUUGCUCUGUGAUGGAGUGGUUGUGAAAAUAAAUACAACUUUCAGCAACGGAUCUCUUGGCUCUC
rnacentral:misc_RNA from 1 species